UACAGAGGGUGCGAGCGUUAAUCGGAAUUACUGGGCGUAAAGCGCGCGUAGGCGGCUUCGCAAGCCGGAUGUGAAAUCCCCGGGCUUAACCUGGGAACUGCAUUCGGGACUGCAUUGCUAGAGUAUGGGAGAGGGAAGUGGAAUUUCAGGUGUAGCGGUGAAAUGCGUAGAUAUCUGAAGGAACAUCAGUGGCGAAAGCGACUUCCUGGACCAAUACUGACGCUCAUGUGCGAAAGCGUGGGGAGCAAACAGG
rnacentral:rRNA from 1 species